UACGGAGGAUCCAAGCGUUAUCCGGAUUUAUUGGGUUUAAAGGGUGCGUAGGCGGCUUAUUAAGUCAGGGGUGAAAGACGGUGGCUCAACCAUCGCAGUACCCUUGAUACUGAUGAGCUUGAAUACACUUGAGGUAGGCGGAAUGUGACAAGUAGCGGUGAAAUGCAUAGAUAUGUCACAGAACACCAAUUGCGAAGGCAGCUUACUAAGGUGCAAUUGACGCUGAGGCACGAAAGCGUGGGGAUCAAACAGG
rnacentral:rRNA from 1 species